UACGUAGGGUGCGAGCGUUAAUCGGAAUUACUGGGCGUAAAGGGUGCGCAGGCGGUUCUGUAAGUCAGAUGUGAAAUCCCCGGGCUUAACCUGGGAACUGCGUUUGAAACUACAGGACUAGAGUGUGGCAGAGGGAGGUGGAAUUCCAUGUGUAGCAGUGAAAUGCGUAGAGAUAUGGAAGAACAUCGAUGGCGAAGGCAACCUCCUGGGUUAACACUGACGCUCAUGCACGAAAGCGUGGGGAGCAAACAGG
rnacentral:rRNA from 2 species